rnacentral:rRNA from 1 species
AAAUUGAAGAGUUUGAUCAUGGCUCAGAUUGAACGCUGGCGGCAGGCCUAACACAUGCAAGUCGAGCGGAAACGACAUUAACAAUCCUUCGGGUGCGUUAAUGGGCGUCGAGCGGCGGACGGGUGAGUAAUGCCUAGGAAAUUGCCUUGAUGUGGGGGAUAACCAUUGGAAACGAUGGCUAAUACCGCAUAAUGCCUACGGGCCAAAGAGGGGGACCUUCGGGCCUCUCGCGUCAAGAUAUGCCUAGGUGGGAUUAGCUAGUUGGUGAGGUAAUGGCUCACCAAGGCG